ensembl:ncRNA lncRNA:CR45355 long non-coding RNA:CR45355
AACGGCACAACAAAAAUUCGACCAAGAACAGCAAACUAAAACAGACGGCGCGAAAGAGAAAGCAUGACAAUGGUUUUGUGAAAGACAAGAGGAAGAAAGGAAGCGGAAAGAGCAGAAUUGUGGACUUAGGUGGAGAAGGGGAUGAGAGCGAAGCACGUGAACUGAGAACUUGCGCACGAGAGAAAAACAACAGCAAUAAAAACAAAAGCCAAAAUACACCGCCCACGCAGCCACCAAAAACGCAAUGCACUUUGACUGCAGCCGAGG